GUGCCCAGCCCUCCAGUUUUUGAUCCUGGGACUGACUCUUCCCCAGUGAGAAUGUCAAGGGUGCCUGCCCACCUCUGGGAAUUCCCGUCCCUCUGUUCAGAAUGCUGCCCUCACUUGGACCCACACAUAGAGCUCCUUCCUGUCACCCAGCUCUCAACUUAGUCGACACUGCUCAAUGUCAACUAAUGCAAAAAGCCCCCUCACCCUCUCCUGUGGCCUUGUGUCCUCUGCACUGCUAAGCACGAGCUGGACUCUCCUCCCUCCCUCUCUUCCCUAUGCUGCUGUGUAUAGGUUCCUGUUUGUCUCUCCACUGAGGGCAGGGACUCUGAAGGACCAGUUCAUGGCAUCCCAUGUCUAGAAAACUGCUCAACACAUUACAGGAAUUCAAGAAAGAAGUUUGUCAAAUGAAGGAACUUUCUAACAUUCUGAACCAACUAACGACGGGCAUGGACCACUUGGUGGUAGUGAGCUCCCUGCCAUUGGUGGUAUUUAAGCAGUAGUUGGAUGACACUCGGAGGGUGCAUUAGAGAGACAAACUCAGGAGGUACGGUUCAAGCUUAGGGCA
rnacentral:lncRNA from 1 species